GUUCGCCCAGUUCACCUGAUGCGCUUACACCUUCAAACAGUUACGUCAGAUCACAUACUCCAGCAGCUCUUUAAAGAAGCCAUCUCUUGUAAAAGUCUAGCUCUCUCUCUCUCUCUCUCUCUGCUAGAAUUAACAGGGAACUUCAACUCGACUCUCCCAGUGCUGAUCUUGAAGAAGCUGUCAGGGAGGCUGAACAAGUCCUUCAAAGGUUCAACCCUUCACAGCUGAAAGGGAAGACCAAAGGAAGGACUGUAAUGGGAUUUGAAUUUGAGCAUUUUGUGCGAAGACCAAAAUGCAACUUAUGAGAAGACCAAAAGCUGCAAAGGCAAACACUUCCAAUGCUGAAGACCAAAAACGCAAAGAAAAUCAGUCACAGCAAGCCGGUCAAACCAGUCCUGAUGAAUGAGGAAUGAACAUGGCCUUCUUGUGCACAAACAGAAAAGACAGAGAGCUGAAAAGUUGCACAUUUCCAUUGCUGCGAGUAUGAGCAAAUCAGCUGUGCAUCAUCUAUGGGAUUUGGGCAGAAAAUGACUGAAUAUGGAGGAUGAAGCCAGUUGAUGAAGAAAUCAAUUCAAUGGCCACCAAGUGCAGCACUGCUGCCUGAACCCAUCAGUUAUCUGCUGUGAAGACUGCAUUCGCAAACAGCUCUAUUACGACAGCUCAGAUGUUGUGGCCCAUAAAAGUAAACUUCACAACUGAACAACUGCAAGAUAGUUGUGGAGGGAUUCUUUUGGCCCAUACCUCCAACAAGAGUCAACGGUAAGUCCAGAGCAACAAUUAGAAAUAAAAAU